rnacentral:rRNA from 1 species
GAGAGUUAAACAGUACGUGAAAUUGUUGAAAGGGAAACGAUUGAAGCCAGUCGUACCUUCGGGUAAUCAGCCUUUCGGGUGCGAUUCUGUGGAGUUUGAGGAGCUUUAACACCUUCAUGCUUUGCAUAUUCGUGCUCUUGGGUGUACUUGCCCGUGUGGUUGGUUAACAUCAAUUUCGGUCGUCAUAAAAUGAUUGGAGGAAUGUAGCUUUGGUCUCGUAUCGAAGUGUUAUAGACUCUGGUAGAUGUGACGAUUGGGAUUGAGGAUUGCAACGGAUACCCUUCGGGGCUACUCGUCUGAUCUCUGAAGGUUGCUCCGGUACCGAAAGCGUGCUUACGGUCAUCGAAAGUGAUUUUUAAAAGGUUAGAACGGGUUAAAUUCGUUAAGGAUGUUGACGUAAUGGCUUUAAACGA